UCUUCUGGAACAGGAGAAGCUCUGAAGAAAAUGUUCACUGCCCAGAUGGGUUCAAACAGGUUUGUGGUGAUCAAAGGACACUUCACACUGAGGAUAUAAAACAUGUAAAAUGAACAUAUACAGGAGAGCAAGAUUCUUCCAAACAACAGAAGUAUGGAUCUCCAUCAGAAAAAAAAAGGAGACAAAGCAGCAGGCUACAAAUAUGUUAUCCAGAGGAUGGUUUAGUCCAGUGUGCAAGAGGAAUAACUCUUUAUUCAUAACUAUUAACUGGAAAUUAAAAUGAAGAAGAAAGUAUCUGAAGGACAAAAUUAGUUUCAAGUCUAAUCCUUCCUAAAGGUCUUUUUCCUGUUCAUUUUCUGGCUUGUAUUUUACUUUCCUCUUCAGCAACUCUUCCCCAAAAGCAUCAUUUUUUGAGAGGAUCUGAGGUUUUAAAAGUUAUAUUUGACUUUAAAAAUAUCAAAACUAGUUAGGGAGCUUCAAAAGUGUGACACUUUUGGAUAUAGGGGUUUUUUUCAUAUUUAAAUCACAACAGCAGCAUCAGGGCCCUGUGACCAACACCAAUUUCUACCUCAACCCUGAGGACCUCACCUGGAAAAGCCCAGGGUUUUUUGGGAGGAUCUGAGGUUUUAAAAGUUGUAUUUUACUUUAAAAAAGAUCAGAACUAGUUAGGCAUCUUCAAAAGUGUGACACAUUUGGAUAUAGGGGGUUUGUUUUCAUAUUUAAAUCACAUCAGCAGCAUCAGGGCCCUGUCACCAACAGCAAUCUCUGAGGGCCUCACCUGGAGAAGGCCAAGGGAUGAACUUUUGUGAAAAUAAAUCAUGACUCCAACCCAUUUGAAAAUGUGCCCUGUAAAAAUCAGUCUCCAGAAAGAACUUGUUCCCUGUGAGAAGCUCAGAAUUGUUGGAGAAAAUUGCUCUGUGGGGGGAAUCAUUUCCCACCUUGGCAGGGCCAGGCUGGCAGAGCUGCCUGGUCCCUCGGAGCAUUUCCCUGCCAGGAGUGAUGUGUGCACUCAGGGAAACGAAUGGGCUGAGAAAAUAUCACACUUGGAGAAAAAAAAAAACAACAGUUUUUAUGGAUGGAAGCUGUGCAGCAAUUUCCCAGCAAGUCUUCCCAAAGGAAAAGAGCAAAGUGGAAACCACUUUGUAGAGACCCCCCUGUGCUAGUUCAGUGCCAGCUGUUGGCUCUAGUCCCCUCCAGACUGAAAGCAGUGCUUUCCCAACCAGGCAGCAGCAAUUUCUCCAGCCAAGCACCGCUCACCAAUAGACUUGAUUAUCAAGAGAUCAUCAGAUGCUCUUUGUGAAGCAUUCAUCCCCAGAAACAGCUCAAAUGGAAGCAAAAUUCACUCAAUUCACUUUGGCUGCUGCUGGGUCACCUUUGCCUUGAGAAAAGGACUCCAGUGACACUUCAUUGACACAGAUCCAUAAAGCCAAGCACAAGGAAGGGAGAGGAAAAUGAAAUAUCAAUACCUUCCUAGCCACAGCCCUGCAAAGGGACUUUGCAGCACCAAGAGGAUAAAAAAUUAAAUUCCUAAUGAAGCCAGAGCCUGUUAAAGAGUGUCCUGUCCUUGAGGCUCUCUGUGAUCAGGAGCUGCGUGGUUCAUGCCAAGUGGAAGAGCUUUCACAGGAGAGAAGACCCAAGGAGCCUCUUUGGAAGGAAUGAGAAGAGGUUUGCUUCUCCAGGCUGAGAUACCCAGAAUAUGUCUUGACUGCUGCUCAAAUUUACAUUUCCUUGCGGAAAUGAUGGGCCAGUGAGCAGGAGAGCUUGUGCAUGAGGAAAGAUGUGCUGGAUAUUCUAAUCAGGCUGUCAUGGGUGGGGAAAAACACAAAUCUGAAGGAGCAGAUCUCCUCCAGGCGAUUUUGCAAGUUGAAAAACUCAUUGCAAUGUCAGUUCUUGAACAGUCAAAGCCUUUCAGCUCAGCAUUAAUCAGGAUAUAUUUUAAUCAAGGAGAAAUAAGUAGCCAGGAAAUAAAUCUGAAAAUGAAGCAAUAGCAGCGGAUUUACAAGUGAAAUUAUUUCAUGAAAAUAAAUUAAUUUGUGUUGGUGUCUUUCAGCCAUCAGCUUGUGGGGGUUUUUUAGGCUUUUUUCUAAGUAAAGCAGCUUGGUAAACAUAGACUGUAUAUUUUUAUAUUUCUGCUUCUAAUCACUGAACUAAUUAAAUGAAGACAUGUUACUUUUUAAUGUGCAUAAUUAAUAUGUAUCAUCUUUAUUAUCCUCAAGAUCAGGGUGAAAUUAAACUGAAAUGAGAUGAGAGAAUGCAUUGGACUAAACCCUACUUUCAGAAGACAACAUGGACACACCACUAUGGGAAGGUUCAACUCCUAGGGAUGGGAAAAGUCUGUUUUGAUGGGGAAAAAACCAUUAAUUUGGCAUUGUACUUUUGUUAAUAAAGAUAAUUUCCUACUGCACACUCACACUCAGAGCAGAGGCUUUAGCAGGAAGGAUUCAGAGCAAGACAAGAUGAACUUUUGUUCUUACUCUGGAGCAGAAGGAUGACAUCUUCCUUGGCUAUCCUGGUCUCAGGAAAAACAAAAUUUCCAGGCUCAGGGCUGCAGAGAGUCUUUGGAACGUGCCAAAAUACAUCACUGAAAUGUUCUGGUCAGCAUGUGCAGCUGCACAUGGGGAGGGAUGGCAGGUUCAGCAGGGUGCCUCUCAAAGUGCUCACUUUUGAAAUACUGAACAUGAAU